GACGAACGCGGCGGCGUGCCUAAUACAUGCAAGUAGAACGCUGAAGGAGGAGCUUGCUCUUCUGGAUGAGUUGCGAACGGGUGAGUAACGCGUAGGUAACCUGCCUGGUAGCGGGGGAUAACUAUUGGAAACGAUAGCUAAUACCGCAUAACAGUAGAUAUCGCAUGAUAUUUGCUUAAAAGGUGCAAUUGCAUCACUACCAGAUGGACCUGCGUUGUAUUAGCUAGUUGGUGAGGUAACGGCUCACCAAGGCAACGAUACAUAGCCGACCUGAGAGGGUGAUCGGCCACACUGGGACUGAGACACGGCCCAGACUCCUACGGGAGGCAGCAGUAGGGAAUCUUCGGCAAUGGACGGAAGUCUGACCGAGCAACGCCGCGUGAGUGAAGAAGGUUUUCGGAUCGUAAAGCUCUGUUGUAAGAGAAGAACGAGUGUGAGAGUGGAAAGUUCACACUGUGACGUAUCUACCAGAAAGGAC
rnacentral:rRNA from 1 species